UCCUGGGAGCGCCACAUGUCAUGAGGCUUACGGACAGAGGUUAAAACAGCUUUUACCAAAGAACAUGCCAUUGCAGCUAACUUUCUGCUCAUGGACAUGAGGAGUAUGCUAGGAGGGAAGAGAGACACCAGAUGCUUCAGGAAAUAGACAACAGGACACUGUUACCUAGGAUGUAGGUAAACAUUCCAGCUUGCCCCUGUGCUCCUGGACCAAACUCCUUCAGGACACCCAUGAUUACGUGUGCCCACCAGAUGCUAAGGGAUUACAAAGAACGAAAGGAGGUUACAACUUAGCUAGACAGAAGAAAGGAAGAGUAUACAACACAGCGCAGUCUAGGAACUGGCAGUGCUUCUGUGAAAAAACUCAGAAAUUCUGGCCUGGGAAGACUGCUUGCCUAAGGACCCCUUCCACAAUUACAACCAAAUAUUACUCAAUAUCAACCUUUGGGAUACGUAAGAAGAGGGGAUUUUCUGAUUCAAUAUUUCUGUUUGGGAAUUUAAACAGACACAUAAUGCAAUGGCUAGAUCUGAAGGUAAAAACAGGGCUCCCUGGAUUUCAAUGAUUUCAGUGCUCAGAGAGGCACCGAAACACAAGGGUGGGCCCCCAGUAGCCAUGUCUAUAAUACGGGACCCAGGUCUUGGUAUCUGCUGGCUGACAGGGGUGGGAAACAUCUGGCCCAAACAGAUAUUCAUGAAACGUAUAUGGAGAGCCAAGGCCACCCAAGACUGGGAGGGCUGGGCUACCUGAGAUGGGAUGCAGAAGGCCCACCAGCUUGGAACACUGACACCCCAGGUGGCCCUGGCUCUUGCCCUCUUGGCAUCUCUCUGAACGAUGAGCCAGUCAUAAGUUUCUUUGCGUGGUUGUUCAGAGUCCAUUUCCAAUGUUGCCAACAGAGGACUUAAAUCAGACAGGCUAGAUCCUGACUGGAUAAAGCCACCUGGAGCCCUAAAACACCCUCCUGCAAAUAUCAGCCUGGCAAAACUAGCAAGAACAUGCUUCAAACAUAACCCAGAUAACACUUUAUGCUACUUAACAACUUAAUCUGUUGAGAAAAAAAUUUUUAAUUUUUUAAAAAUGAGAAAAUAUGAAGCUGGCCUUAAGCUUAGUUCUCAGGGCUGAUAAGUUUUAAAUUAGGAUUUUUGGAUCUG
rnacentral:lncRNA from 1 species